UACAGGGGGGCAAGCGUUGUUCGGAAUUACUGGGCGUAAAGGGUUUGUAGGUGGCCACUUAAGUCAGACGUGAAAUCCCUCAGCUUAACUGGGGAACUGCGUCUGAUACUGGGUGGCUUGAGUGCAGGAGGGGAACGCGGAAUUCCAGGUGUAGCGGUGAAAUGCGUAGAUAUCUGGAGGAACACCGGUGGCGAAGGCGGCGUUCUGGACUGUAACUGACACUGAAAAACGAAAGCCAGGGGAGCAAACGGG
rnacentral:rRNA from 1 species